rnacentral:rRNA from 1 species
UACGGAGGGGGCUAGCGUUGUUCGGAAUCAUUGGGCGUAAAGGGCGCGUAGGCGGCCAGGCAAGUCGGAGGUGAAAUCCCUCGGCUCAACCGAGGAACUGCCUCCGAUACUGCCUGGCUCGAGUCCCGGAGAGGGUAGUGGAAUUCCCAGUGUAGCGGUGAAAUGCGUAGAUAUUGGGAGGAACACCGGUGGCGAAGGCGGCUACCUGGACGGGUACUGACGCUGAGGCGCGAAAGCGUGGGGAGCAAACAGG